rnacentral:rRNA from 1 species
CAGUAGCCGCGGUAAAACAGAGGAUGCAAGCGUUAUCCGGAAUGAUUGGGCGUAAAGCGUCUGUAGGUGGCUUUUCAAGUCCGCCGUCAAAUCCCAGGGCUCAACCCUGGACAGGCGGUGGAAACUACCAAGCUGGAGUACGGUAGGGGCAGAGGGAAUUUCCGGUGGAGCGGUGAAAUGCGUAGAUAUGCGGAGGAACACCGAUGGCGAAGGCAAUCCCCUGGGCCUGUACUGACGCUCAUGCACGAAAGCGUGGGGAGCAAACAGGAUUAGAUACCCGCGUAGUCCCUGUCUCUUAUAA